UCCAAGACAUGGUUAAAAAUAUGACUAGUCUUUAUUAGGAUUUGGACCCUCUUUCUCACCUACAUCUUCUCUCUCUAAGAUCAACCGCGGAGGUUUUCUACCCUUCCUGUUAUUCCAGUGGUCGAUCAGUUUCAUGCUGGCCCUCGCUGAACAGCUACAUGUUAAACACUUCGCUUCCUACUUUCUUCCAUGCUUUAUGAGAGGAUCUUGUUAAAAACAUCCACAAAGACACUUCAGGCAUCUCUUCUCCUGCCCUCCAUGGAGGAAAGAUCUAUCUCCUCUAAGAGACAACAUUAUUCAACCUCCCUAAGAAUGUUUACAAGAAAGAGGUAAGGCCAGUAAGAACAGGUAAUAUAUGUAGGCUGCUCUGAAAAUAAUGCCUCCUAUUUAUUUCCAUGGAAAUUACAACAGAUAAAAAGACCACAAUAACACUAUUUGAUAGAGCAACUUCUCAGUGACAAAACACUGCUUUUCAACAUAGUCACCAC
rnacentral:lncRNA from 1 species